ensembl:lncRNA
GUAAAAAGAAACAGCGAUGUUGUAGCGGUUUAUCGACACCACUGCAUUUUUGGGCAUGCAACAAUUGGCUUUUAGAGGACACGAUGAGAGGGAAAGUUCCGCUAACAAGGGCAACUACAAUGAGAUUGCGGAGCAACUGGGUUCUACAGUUUGACCCCACUGCUGUCCCUGGCUCCACACACAUCCUGCCCGGCCAUCUAGAUGUUUGAAGGUAGGUGUCUUUUCUGUAGGGAAGCUAAUGAUCCAUCAUGUAUGACAUUCCUGGGAGCUUGUAAACAUAAAUGUUUUUAUUACCAUAUCAUUUUUGUAUGUUCUCUAUAGUUAUGUACUUGAACAUUUUUAAUUUGACCAAUUCAGAACAUUUGGGCAAACUCCUGGCAGAUGUAAUUCUUCACUGGAUCAGUCUGAACCUUUGCACACAUACUGCUGCCAUCUUGUGGACAACAUCUAAAUUCACACCCAUAAUCCUAUAUCAAUGGAUGGCCUUUCUCUUGCAUUUCCAAAUGAUUGUAUUAUCUUUUUCCAGAUCUAAUGUGUUAUAUUUUCCUACAUUAAUUUCAAAUUUCCACAGACUUCCAUAAACUUCAAAGUGUUUCCUUUCAAAUGGUAUCAAGAAUAUGCAUAUCCUUGGUUCAGGUUCUGGAGAUACAGGCAGUUAGAUUUGGGUAUGUCAUUUAGGCAGAAAUUGGAAAAAAGGGUCUGAUCCUUAUUAAGAGAUGAUGACCACUCAGCUACUGUUGUCAUCUCUCUCCGGACAUGAACUGAAGCCACAUUUCAUUUGCCCGGUCAUUCACUAGCAAAUUGAAUGUUUCCUGUCCAAGCACUUUAAAUCCUGUCCUGCCCUCAGUGGAAGAGUUGAGCUCUCUCCAAACACCAUCCAUCCAUCCAUGAUGAGCCUGUCCUGCACUAAAGUCUAUGAACACCUCAACCCCCGUCCUUCACUGAAGUCGAACCUCUGAACACCUCAACUCAUGCCUCAUACCCUCAUUCAAUCACUGCUGUGAUCCCUUCCCAACACUCUCCAGAUGACAAAACCUACACAGUCCAAUGGUUGCAGGUCUGCCAACUUCCUUCUGGC